rnacentral:rRNA from 1 species
GCAUACUCUAGAUCCUGAUUCAUUUUAUUUUAAUAAAUAAAAUUACUGCCAAAUCCUAACAGAAAAAAUUUUACAAAUUCUAACUUAGUAAUGUAACCCAUCUCUUCUUUUAAAAGCUGCACCUUGAUUUGAUCUAAAAUAAAAUCUUAUUUAAAGAAAAUUAGCCUUCUUUAGAAAUAUUCAUUUCAACAACGAUAUACAAGCAAUAUAAAAGUAAAAUAAAUUGUGGACUAUCAAUUACAGGACAGGUUCCUCUGGUAGGUUCAAGUACCGCCAAGAUAUUUAAUUUUUAAGCACUUAACUAAUACUAAUCCGGUUUCAAUAAUCACGAUAUCAAUAACAGGGUAUCUAAUCCUGGUUUACAAUAACAUUUUCUUAGAUCAUAUCAUUUUUUAUCCUUAAUUUUUCUAUUAAAAUUUCACCUCUCAAUAUAACUACUUCAGAUUUUUUUAUUAAUUAACUAAAACCACAAAAAUUAAAUAGCACCUUUUGUAUAACCGCA